rnacentral:rRNA from 1 species
CAGUAGCCGCGGGAAUACGUAGGGUGCAAGCGUUAAUCGGAAUUACUGGGCGUAAAGCGUGCGCAGGCGGUUAUAUAAGACAGAUGUGAAAUCCCCGGGCUCAACCUGGGAACUGCAUUUGUGACUGUAUAGCUAGAGUACGGCAGAGGGGGAUGGAAUUCCGCGUGUAGCAGUGAAAUGCGUAGAUAUGCGGAGGAACACCGAUGGCGAAGGCAAUCCCCUGGGCCUGUACUGACGCUCAUGCACGAAAACGUGGGGAGCAAACAGGAUUAGAUACCCCCGUAGUUCCUGUCUCUUAUAU